UACGGGGGGGGCAAGCGUUGUUCGGAAUUACUGGGCGUAAAGGGCUCGUAGGCGGCCAACUAAGUCGGAUGUGAAAUCCCCAAGCUUAACUUGGGAACUGCAUCCGAUACUGGAUGGCUUGAGUUUGGGAGAGGGAUGCGGAAUUCCAGGUGUAGCGGUGAAAUGCGUAGAUAUCUGGAGGAACACCGGUGGCGAAGGCGGAUCUCUGGGCCAUUACUGACGCUGAGGAGCGAAAGCGUGGGGAGCGAACAGG
rnacentral:rRNA from 1 species